ensembl:lncRNA
AUACGAUAAACACAUUUGCGAUCGCAUAUCAAAAACAUGGCGAGAGGAGGGUUCAAGAAGUCAUGCCCUGCAUGUCAGGCAAACAUCUUUAAUGGCUGUAAAGUGUGCCCCAUGUGCAAGGCACCACAGCCACAAAAACUGAGGCUUAAAAAAAAACUUGAAAAGUUUAAAAAAGAAAAAGAUACUUGGGUGGCCAACACAAAGAAAAACCAGAUCACCUCGCACCUGAUGGAUGAUGCGGUCAUUCUGAUGGAGAAGCUGAAUGCGGUGGGCUGGAAGCCCAUCCUCCUUCUGGAAUAUCCGAAGAAGGAGGCAAGGAUGCUCCUCCCAGAAGGCCUCGUUCCAAGUGUGGGGGGAAAGGAAAUGUCUCGAUGACAUUGAAGAAAUGUACACCUUCAUGAUUGAAGUCCGUUACCCAAGACCCACCACAACAACAAGGUCUCUUUCAGAAACUCUCCUUUCAGCCAGCCCCACCACCACCACCACCACCACCACCACCACCAUUGAGGGCCCAGAGACUGGGGUUAAACCUGAGACGGUGGAGACUGUCCUGUCAGCCAGCCCUACCACCAACAACUGGGGGACAGAGCCUGGCAACAAACGGAAGAGACGCCCAAGUACAAAAGUGGACACUCUCCCGACAACAAGCCCUACCACCACCAACAGGGGGACAGAGACUGGCAACAAACGAAAAAGACACCCAAGCACAAAAGUGAAGAAGGUUCUGUCCACAAGCCCCAACACCACCACCAACGGGGGGCGAGAGACUGAGACAGUGGAGACUGUCCUGUCAGCCAGCCCUGCCAUCACCACCAACGACUGGCAAAAUACAAAACAGACGCCCAAGGACACACAACCAAUACCACCCCUCCCCCCACCUAUACUCCACAGUUGUACUUAAAAAGGACUUGACAAUGUUUUCUUAAAAAUGUGUUUUUUAUACAGUGUUUUAUUCUGUAUUUAUACUAUUCCUUGUGUGACUGUUUGUGUGAGCAUUGUUUUAGAGGCUGCAUAAACAGAUUUCAUUGUACGGUUUUAUUGCACAAUGACAAUAAAGAAUAAACAUGCCACUAUUUGCUUAUGUCAAACAGUUUCUAAAGAGGAAAAGGAUUGCCCCCACAACAGCCAGAAGGUGCACCAGUACACACACAUAAUCACACAAAGAAAGAUACGG